GUAGGCUGAAACUCGCCUACAUGAAGCUGGAAUUGCUAGUAAUCACAGGUCAGCAUACUGUGGUGAAUACGUUCCCGGGCCUUGUACACACCGCCCGUCACACCAUGAGAGUUGAGAAUACCCGAAGCCCAUGUCAAAGUGGUCGAAGGUAGGCUUGAUGAUUGGGGUGAAGUCGUAACAAGGUACC
rnacentral:rRNA from 1 species